rnacentral:rRNA from 1 species
GUGCCAGCAGCCGCGGUAAUACGUAGGUGGCGAGCGUUGUCCGGAAUUAUUGGGCGUAAAGCGCGCGCAGGCGGCUCUCUUAAGUCUGAUGUGAAAGCCCCCGGCUCAACCGGGGAGGGUCAUUGGAAACUGGGAGACUUGAGUGCAGGAGAGGGAAGCGGAAUUCCAUGUGUAGCGGUGAAAUGCGUAGAGAUAUGGAGGAACACCAGUGGCGAAGGCGGCUUCCUGGCCUGUAACUGACGCUGAGGCGCGAAAGCGUGGGGAGCAAACAGGAUUAGAUACCCUGGUAGUCCACGCCGUAAACGAUGAGUGCUAGGUGUUAGGGGGCUUGCCCCUUAGUGCUGCAGCUAACGCAUUAAGCACUCCGCCUGGGGAGUACGGUCGCAAGCUGAAACUCAAAGGAAUUGACGG